ensembl:lncRNA novel transcript, antisense to ARHGEF25
ACAGUGGACUCGGAGAUGCAUUAAGGACCCAGGACAGGGCAUCUGGACAUGGCUGUGUGAAUGUUUGGCUCGCUCUGUUCCAGCGGCUCUCCCAGAAGUUGGGAGGGGUGAAGAUCCCCUUGGGCUGUCCGCUCUUGGGUCCAUGGCUUGAAGAAGAAUCCCCUUCUGCUCACUAUGAACAUGGCUUAUGACCUCGCAGAGAGCAAAGAUAAGGAGACCCAGAGCCAGGAAAAGGUCUCAGCCCCCAGGAUCCUCUCCACCUUCCCAUCCUCCCUCAGCUGAACAUGGUAGCCUCAGAAGGAAAGGCUGUGUUCCACCUCUCACUCCUCCUCCCAGGGCUUCACUGAAGAUGAUGAUUUGCUCAAAGAGGAAGACGCGCCUCUCUCGACCUCGGGAAGACAGCAGCCCUCCAGCCUCAGGCUCGGUGACCCAGAAAGUGUCCUGGCCCAAGAGCUUCCCCUGAGCAGUCAGUUUGCCCUGAAACCAAAAGGAUAGUGGCCUUGGAAAAAGAACAAGAAAAAGGACAAUUCUCUGCUCCUCCCUUCCUCGCCUGACAUGCCCAACCAACCAUGGGGUCAGCCCCAGGAGAAGACAACUCCCCAUAAGGACCUCCUGAAUGCUAGGGCUGGGGCAGAAGAGCAUCGGGCCUCCAGUUUCUUGCCCUAUCUCCGUACCUCAAAUCCCCGCAAUCUCCCCAGCGUCAUCAUAUCGUUGCAGCGCUUGGGCACAAAGCACAUGACCUCCACAGCUUGCUGGGACACAGUUCACUCAGGACAUACCUAGGAUGAAAGCAGGAGGAGGCCCCCACUUCAGCGUCGGAGCUCAUCCUUGGUUCAGCCCGUUCCUCCCUCCUCCCCUUUAUCAUCAUAGCCAACCUUGGAGGAAAUUCCAUCUAAAAUGUGAGGGACAGUCUUCUGGAAGUUGUGCAACUGCAGGGAAGGGCUGUGGACACUUACAUACUCCUUUCCAGAGCCUUCUUCUUCUGUUCCUCCUCACUCUCAGGGGCUUGGGACAAAGUCUCCUCUUCAGGUGGCUGGAAGGAAAGAACAUCCUAGGGUGAGCAAACGAAUGCCCCUUGAGUGAAAGGAGCCUCCCCAGAGCCUGUCCUCACACCUGCGUCUUAUCUCCAGGGCCCUCCAACAGUGUGGUCAGCAAGGUCAGUUCCGGCAGCUCCUCUCCUGUGGCUAGAGCUGGCUCCAACAUCCAGUUCUGGGGGCCAGAAAUCAAGUGUCAGAGGUCGGGGACAGUAGCUGGGUGGCCCCAACUUGCCCUCUCUGCCAGUGUCCUUCAUAGAUGUCCCACAUGCUUUGGUGCCGUUCCCUGCUCACCUCAUAUGGUCCUGCCUGACCACUGUCUGCCUCAGUUUCCACACUGAGACAAUGUUUGGAAUGAUCCAACCAUCUCCUCAGGCCACUGACGGGCCCUGGGGGGCCUGGGGAACAGGGGCCAGAGCUGAGGCCAGAGCUGGGGCCAGAGGGGGCAGCCAGACCGGAGGCAGCAGAAGCCGAUAUACUCCCCUCACUGCCCGCAAUGGAAUAGGAUUCUAAUGGGAGGAAAAAGAGAGGAGGUGAUAGACCUUGCCCCAGCUCCAGACUCAGGGUCCCCAGGGAACUCCCAGGGUCUUCUCUUCAUGAUGCUCAGCCUCUCUCUCCAAGGGCUCACUCUCUUGCCAUCCUCAUUUGAGUUGGCCAGGAUAGAAAAUUUCACCAGGGCACCCCUGGGAGAAAGCACAGUAAGGUAAACGCCUGGCUCUCCAGGCCUGGAACCCCCAGUUACAUGUGGAGGUUCCCCAUAUCCUGAGCAUAGCAUAGAUAUGGGGGUGGGGGCAGCCAUCUGGGCAGACAUUGGAAGCUGGGGGUGGCCAUCUGCUCUCCUACAACCCUCCCUCUUUCAAUGGGUACAGACCAUUCUCUGGGAAGAGGGGAGGAUGAGCUGGGUCCAUCUGCCACUCCCAGUCCCCUCCUCCACCAAUUGCAGUAAUCACUAUAAAAAGAAAAGACUUCUGCAGCCCACCUCCCCAACACAUGCGUAGACCCAAUAGAGGAGGCCAGUGAGGAGGGUCCAUCAGGGUUAUCGUUGGCCUGUGCUCAGCGACAGAGAGCUGUGAUUCCUUAUAAAGCCCCUUGUAGAACCACCUCAUUCUCAUUCCUCCAUUCUCCUGUCCCUCUUCAGAAGUAGAUUCUUAGCAAAAGGUUUGAGGAAAAUAAUCGGUUCUAGGCCUAAGGGGAUUGUGGGUGGGUUUUUCUCAAACCCAUUUGACAAAGGGAAAGAGAUGAGUUCCCUGCCCCUUCCCCUAUUUCCUUAACUUGAACUAACAGAAAUUUGGAGGCAGAAGGGACCUUAGGGAUCACUUAA